rnacentral:rRNA from 1 species
CCUACGGGCGGCAGCAGUGAGGAAUAUUGGUCAAUGGGCGCGAGCCUGAACCAGCCAAGUAGCGUGAAGGAUGACUGCCCUACGGGUUGUAAACUUCUUUUAUAAAGGAAUAAAGUGAGGCACGUGUGCCUUUUUGUAUGUACUUUAUGAAUAAGGAUCGGCUAACUCCGUGCCAGCAGCCGCGGUAAUACGGAGGAUCCGAGCGUUAUCCGGAUUUAUUGGGUUUAAAGGGAGCGUAGAUGGGUUGUUAAGUCAGUUGGGAAAGUUUGCGGCUCAACCGUAAAAUUGCAAUUGAUACUGGCAGCCUUGAGUACAGUUGGGGUAGGCGGAAUUCGUGGUGUAGCGGUGAAAUGCUUAGAUAUCACGAAGAACACCGAUUGCGAAGGCAGCUUACCAAGCUACUUCUGACGUUGAGGCACGAAAGCGUGGGGAGCAAACAGGAUUAGAUACCCGUGUAGUC